ACUUUGAUUCUGGCUCGGGACGAACGCUGGCGGCGCGCCUAACACAUGCAAGUCGAGCGGGAAGCUUUUUAAGGAUUCUUCGGAUGAAUUAAAAAGUGGAGAGCGGCGGACGGGUGAGUAACGCGUGAGAAACCUGCCCUAUACAGGGGGAUAGCCAUUGGAAACGAUGAUUAAUACCCCAUAUGACCACAGUAUCGCAUGAUACAGCGGUGAAAACUCCGGUGGUAUAGGAUGGUCUCGCGUCUGAUUAGCUAGUUGGUGGGGUAACGGCCCACCAAGGCGACGAUCAGUAGCCGGCCUGAGAGGGUGACCGGCCACACUGGAACUGAGACACGGUCCAGACUCCUACGGGAGGCAGCAGUGGGGAAUAUUGCACAAUGGGCGAAAGCCUGAUGCAGCGACGCCGCGUGAACGAUGAAGGCUUUCGAGUCGUAAAGUUCUGUUCUUGGGGAAGAUAACGACGGUACCCAAGGAGAAAGCACCGGCUAAAUACGUGCCAGCAGCCGCGGUA
rnacentral:rRNA from 1 species